UACAGAGGGGGCAAGCGUUAUUCGGAAUUAUUGGGCGUAAAGGGCGCGUAGGCGGCCUGGCAAGUGGAAGGUGAAAUCCCUCGGCUUAACCGAGGAACUGCCCUCCAAACUGCUCGGCUUGAGUCCGGGAGAGGUGAGUGGAAUUCCCAGUGUAGCGGUGAAAUGCGUAGAUAUUGGGAGGAACACCAGUGGCGAAGGCGGCUCACUGGACCGGAACUGACGCUGAGGCGCGAAAGCGUGGGGAGCAAACGGG
rnacentral:rRNA from 1 species